UCUUUACCGUCUGAGCCAGUAAAGAUUCUGCCUGCAAUGCAGGAGACCUGGGUUCAAUCCCUGGGUUGGGAA
rnacentral:tRNA from 1 species